GACGAACGCUGGCGGCGUGCUUAACACAUGCAAGUCGAACGAAGUGGCGAACGGGUGAGUAAUACGUGAGAAAACUGCCCUCCUUUGUGGGAUAAGCCUGGGAAACGGGGUAUAAUACCGAAUAAAGGGGGAUGGGCUCGCGGCCUAUCAGGUGGUUGGUGGGGUGAUGGCCUAAGAAGGCGGUGACGGGUAGCCGGCCUGAGAGGGUGACCGGGCACAUUGAGACUGCGAUACGGCCCAGACUCCGACGGGAGGCAGCAGUGGGGGAUAUUGCACAAUGGGCGAAAGCCUAAUGCAGCGACGCCGCGUGGGGGAUGAAGGCUUUCGGGUUGUAAACCUCUUUCGCAAGCGAACGGGUAGGUAGAGAAGAAGCGCCGGUUAACUCCGUGCCAGAGCCGCGGUAAUUC
rnacentral:rRNA from 1 species